GCGAUUCGCCCUUCGGGGUGCCCAGGCGCGAAAACUCCACAAUGUACGGAAGUACGAUGGGGUUAUCUCGAGUGCAGUCCGAUAAGGGCUGCUUUUCCAUAGAGUAAUAUCCUGUGGGAAUAAGAGGGGGGCAAGACUGGUGUCAGCCGCCGCGGUAACACCAGCCCCUCGAGUGGUGGGGACUAUUAUUUGGUCUAAAGCGUCCGUAGCUGGCUGUAUCCGUCCCCCGUUAAAUCCAGCGUCCUAAGCGUUGGACUGCGGGUGAUACCAUACAGCUAGAGGGUGGGAUAGGUGAGCGGUAUUUCUGGGGUAGGGGCGAAAUCCUUUGAUCCCAGGAGGACCACCAGUGGCGAAGGCUGCUCACUAGAACACGCCUGACGGUCAGGGACGAAAGCUGGGGCAGCGAACCGGAUUAGAUACCCGGGUAGUCCCAGCUGUAAACGAUGCUGCUAGGUGUUGGGUCGGCCACGCGCCGCCCCAGUGCCGCAGGGAAGCCGUUAAGCUAGCCACCUGGGGAGUACGGCCGCAAGGCUGAAACUUAAAGGAAUUGGCGGGGGAGCAC
rnacentral:rRNA from 1 species